UUCUUCCACCCCUUUAUGGCUUUCUUCCGUUAUCGACUUAUCGUUCUCCCACCUCUUCUAAAGGAAUCGCCCGUUUUUUCCAAGAGUCGCGCUCAUUUAAAAAGCUUUGAGCUCUCCCCCUCCGUGUAUUUGGGUUUUUCGUUCUGAUUUCCCCGCCGAUUCUUCUUCUUAAUUUGUUCACACGUGGAAACAUUCUUCGAUUUGAGUUCUUCGUCCAGCCAGAGCCAUUUGUAUUGUUGUUCAGAUUUUCUUUUAUUGGGUAACCCUUCACGACAUUUCUCAACCUUAUCUGCUACAUUGUUAUACCCUGUCAACCAAUCAUUUUUAAAUUGUUCAUUGAUAUUUCAAUAUCUUGGUGAUUCCGUUUUUGAGUUAUGAGUUGUCAUAACAGGUGACUGAAAAUAUUCAAGGUAAUGACUUCACCAAAUUGGAAAUUUCAUAAUGUUUGAUUUCUUGGAUGUGUGUGGAUGUUGCUGAUUUUUUUAUUGUACUAUAGAGAGUACUUGCUCCAAAGCUUAGAAUCAGGCAGCUUAAAGUUCCUAAUUUGUGUGUUUAGUUAUAUAAAACUUACGAGACAACAAUGGCUGGUCUCAAAGGCAUAACUUGAUUAAACUUUCAUUGUAUAUUAAAGGCAGUUUGUUUAUUUUUCUUAUUUAGAUACCAUGAUGAACGAAUCAAUCAUUUUGUCUCUUUUCAUUUAACCUGCCAAUUGACUAUGACUUUUAUUCAGCAUGUUAUUUUCACCCACAUAAUUUGGUAUUUGAUAUAUAGCAUAAAGUGAUGUUGCACCGAUUCAACUUGCAGCCAAUAUGGCAUGUUAUACAACCAUUUUUUCUCUAGAAACGGCUUUGGCUUCAAUAUCAUAGGUUUCCUCCAUUUUUCCCAAUUGUCGCAAUUUACCCUGUCUUCUUUAAUAACAUCUCUUACAAAUAGAGAGCUAACAACUGAUUAACCACCUCAUUCCACUUGAUUUUUCCUUGACUUGAUCCCUAUGUGUUUUUCCUUCAAUCUUAUCAUGGCUAGAUUAAUUCAGCUUUAUUUAACAAGAGGACCAUAAGCUUGAUCUUUUCCACCAACUCUUUGUUCGGAUUUUUUACAUUUCAAUAAAGUAUCUAUGUUCUUCAAUUUCUUUAAAUUUAACAUCUUUAUGUCUAUUUUGACAUCUUACUUUCACGUGAAUUGACUAGCAUUUAUGAUGGAGGUAUCAAAAAAGAAAAUCAUAUAAUGAUAAUGAGAACUCCAAAAUCAAAUACUUACCCUAAGUUUGGCCUGCCAAUUUUUUUUUCCGCAUCUGCUGAAUAACUGUGAAGAUGUUGGGGAAAGUGAUAGAGGAAUAUGUGAGGACUACAAAGGAUGCUAAGAGUGUUUUGAAGGAAACACUGAAGAGGAUUUUGGAAGAAAACGCUUGAGCUGAUGAUGGAAGCAAAGGGUAUGUAAAUGGAGGUGGCCACAAAGAAGCUUCUUUUGCUGAAGAGGAUCCUACCAAGUUGUAGAAAAUGAAAUGGUGGAACCUCAAUAGCAAUUUCAUUGAUGUACCUUCUUUUUCACUCAGCAAAAGAUUGGUGAUAAGAUGCAAAAAGAGGCAGGGGCUUUCUUUAUGAUUUUUAUCACUCCCCUUUGCAAAGAUCGGCCAGGUGGGAAAUUCUGAUGCUGAAUCGUUCCUUCUCCUUGAAGUUUUCUUGAGCAAGAGUUAUCCAUGUUGAUACUGUGCAAUUAUUGAUGGUGGAUGCUAAGAAUCAACAGCUAUGCUAUUCAUUUUAGCCUAUUUCUCUGUGAAUGAUAUUUGCUGAUAGUGGAUGCAAAGGGACUUCAUAUAAUCAUGUUUAUAUGCCUUAUUGUUUAUUUUUCAUUUUCGGAUGCUUGAAUAAUUCAGUUAUUUGAACGAAGUUUUCUUUUUCUUUUUC